rnacentral:rRNA from 1 species
UACGGAGGGUGCGAGCGUUAAUCGGAAUUACUGGGCGUAAAGCGUGCGUAGACGGCUAUCUAAGUCGGGUGUGAAAGCCCCGGGCUCAACCUGGGAAUUGCAUUCGAGACUGAAUAGCUAGGGUACGGUAGAGGGAAGUGGAAUUUCCGGUGUAGCGGUGAAAUGCGUAGAUAUCGGGAGGAACAUCAGUGGCGAAAGCGACUUCCUGGACCAGUACCGACGUUCAGGCACGAAAGCGUGGGGAGCAAACAGG